rnacentral:rRNA from 1 species
UAGGGAAUCUUCGGCAAUGGACGAAAGUCUGACCGAGCAACGCCGCGUGAGUGAAGGAGGUUUUCGGAUCGUAAAACUCUGUUGGUAGAGAAGAACGUUGGUGAGAGUGGAAAGCUCAUCAAGUGACGGUAACUACCCAGAAAGGGACGGCUAACUACGUGCCAG